rnacentral:sRNA from 2 species
GGAACUGACUACUAGGGUUCCGGUCGCCGAAGGAUGAAUUCGGCUGAUGUCUGGUCCGAGAGUGGCCCGGCCUCGCAAGAGGCUCCACGGAGGGAUAAAAGCCCGGGAGAA